GCUAUACUACAACAGUAUAAACUUUAAAACUUUGUGAGAUGGCAGAUUCUGGUCUAUCAGAAAAAGCACUUAUCACCGAGAGUGUGGAGACCAUUCGUACUACCUCAGUGUUCACGGACCCUUAUGAACGCUCUGUUAACUAUAUGGAGACUCACAGUAUUCUUCAGAUUUUUCAGGACAUCACAGAGAAAUUGGUUUUUAAUAGACCAGACGAUCCACUUCAGUUUAUGUUAGAACAGGUGCAAAUGAAGAUCAAAGUCCGUGAUGAGUCAAGCAACACAUUUGUGAAAUCAUGAUGAAUUCUAAAGCAAAGUAACAAGGGCUUUGCAACAAAUGGAAUCCAAGGUUAUUCUUUUAUUUAUACAAUUCUUUAAAUAAGGUAUUGAAUGCUGUCAUCCCGUGACUCUGCAUUGUUGUUUCCAAGCAACUGUCUUCAGAUGUUCUUUUUUUUUUUGUUCCAAAUUUACCAUGUUUUGCCACAAUUUUGAGACCUUAUUAGCAUUCAUUUUCAGUCAAACAGCGCUGAAAUAUUAAUAAUGUAGUUUGUGAGGGUCUUUGACCUAAAUAUCUCAAUGAACACACUUAAGUGGCAAGUUAGAGCUAUUAAAUGUGGCAAAAAAAAUAAAUAAAUAAAUACAGUUAACA
ensembl:lncRNA